rnacentral:rRNA from 1 species
GUCCUAGCCGUAAACGGUGCACGUUUGCUGUAAGAGGAUUCGACCCCUCUUGUGGCGUAGCCAACGCGUUAAACGUGCCGCCUGGGAAGUACGGUCGCAAGAUUAAAACUCAAAGAAAUUGACGGGGCCUGCACAAGCGGUGGAGUAUGUGGCUUAAUUCGAUGCAACGCGAAGAACCUUACCUGGCCUUGACAUGUAGGUAGUAGAAGCCUGAAAGGGUGACGAGGUAGCAAUACCAGCUUACACAGGUGCUGCAUGGCUGUCGU